GUGGGGAAUAUUGGACAAUGGGCGCAAGCCUGAUCCAGCCAUGCCGCGUGAGUGAUGAAGGCCUUAGGGUUGUAAAGCUCUUUCACCGAUGAAGAUAAUGACGGUAGUCGGAGAAGAAGCCCCGGCUAACUUCGUGCCAGCAGCCGCGGUAAUACGAAGGGGGCUAGCGUUGUUCGGAUUUACUGGGCGUAAAGCGCACGUAGGCGGUUUGUUAAGUUAGGGGUGAAAUCCCGGCGCUCAACUCCGGAACUGCCUUUGAUACUGGCAAGCUAGAGUCCGGAAGAGGGAAGUGGAACUCCUAGUGUAGAGGUGGAAUUCGUAGAUAUUAGGAAGAACACCAGUGGCGAAGGCGGCUCACUGGUCUGGUACUGACGCUGAGGUGCGAAAGCGUGGGGAGCAAACAGGAUUAGAUACCCGUGUAGUCC
rnacentral:rRNA from 1 species